GCCGGCUGUGGGGUCAGCCAGUGCGUGGAGGUCAGCCUCACCGGAGGUUUCUGCAACACCCAACAUACUUGUUCCUGUUUUGGGGGAAUGUUAUCACCACUGGCUUCUUAGAAAGAGCCUGAGCCAACAAAUAUUUACUGAGCACCUCCCGGUGCCAGGGCCAGGCUGGGAGCCGGAAAUUGGAUGGGGAACAAGCCAAGGAGAUUUCACCCUCCCGACGACCCAUGGCCGAUGGGCAGGGGACGGACAAAGCCAAAUGAGCAAGCAGCACGAUUCACAGCAGCUGAAAAGUGGAAAAAGCCCAAGUGUCCAUUGACGGGUAAAUGGAUAAACAAAACGUGGUCCCUCGGUAUGGUGGGAUAGUACUUAGCCAUGAAAAGGGACAAAGCCCUGACACCUGCUACAACGUGGAUGAAUCCCAAAAAUAUCGUACUGAGAGAAGCCAGCCACAGAAGGCCACCGAGAGCAUCAUCUCACGUGCAUGAAGUGUCCAGAACAGGCGAAUCCAUGGUGAAAGAGGAUUGAGGUUGUCAGAGGCUGGGGGAGGCGGAGGAGGAAGCGACUGCUGAUAAGGAAGGGGUUCCUUUCAGGAUGAUGGGAAUGUUCUAGAAUUAAAUGUCGGUGGUAGUUGCACAGCUUUGUGAAUGCACAAGAUGCCGCUGAAUUGUCCACUUCAAAAUGGUUCAUUUCAUGUUGUAUGGA